ensembl:lncRNA
CGCGUGUAUUCCAGGCUCUGUUCUUGUCAUCAGAAAAACAAUGAAUGAUGAAGUAUCUAUCCUCCUUGGGAGCAGGAGAUGCGAGGGGAGCACUGAAGGGGCAGCGAGCUGGGGGACAUGGAUGCAUGCCUCUGGGUGGUUUCCUGGGAUGAAGCAGCAGUCCCUGGGUCACCAGAGAGUCAAAAGCAAUCAAGAUUCCUAGAAGGAGAGGAGAAAGAACAGCCUGGGGCCCCAAUGCCUUACGUCUUCAUCACUUCAAGAAUUACUAUUUUAUUCUGAAGCAUUGGCACCUAAAAG